rnacentral:rRNA from 1 species
UACGUAGGGGGCUAGCGUUGUCCGGAUUUAUUGGGCGUAAAGAGCGUGUAGGCGGCCAGGUAGGUCUGCUGUGAAAACUCGAGGCUCAACCUCGAGACGUCGGCGGAAACCAUCUGGCUAGAGUCCGGAAGAGGAGAGUGGAAGUUCCUGGUGUAGCGGUGAAAUGCGCAGAUAUCAGGAAGAACACCCGUGGCGAAGGCGGCUCUCUGGGACGGUACUGACGCUGAGACGCGAAAGCGUGGGGAGCGAACAGG